rnacentral:rRNA from 1 species
UACGGAGGGGACUAGCGUUGUUCGGAAUUACUGGGCGUAAAGCGCACGUAGGCGGAUUUGUAAGUCAGGGGUGAAAUCCCGGGGCUCAACCUCGGAACUGCCUUUGAUACUGCAAAUCUCGAGUCCGGAAGAGGUGAGUGGAAUUCCUAGUGUAGAGGUGAAAUUCGUAGAUAUUAGGAAGAACACCAGUGGCGAAGGCGGCUCACUGGUCCGGUACUGACGCUGAGGCGCGAAAGCUAGGGGAGCAAACGGG